CCUACGGGUGACAGCAGUGGGGAAUAUUGGGCAAUGGGCGCAAGCCUGACCCAGCAACGCCGCGUGAAGGAAGAAGGCUUUCGGGUCGUAAACUUCUUUUGUCAGGGACGAAGCAAGUGACGGUACCUGACGAAUAAGCCACGGCUAACUACGUGCCAGCAGCCGCGGUAAUACGUAGGUGGCAAGCGUUAUCCGGAUUUAUUGGGUGUAAAGGGCGUGUAGGCGGGAAAGCAAGUCAGAUGUGAAACCUCAGGGCUCAACCCUGAGCCUGCAUUUGAAACUGUGUUUCUUGAGUGCUGGAGAGGCAAGCGGAAUUCCGUGUGUAGCGGUGAAAUGCGUAGAUAUACGGAGGAACACCAGUGGCGAAGGCGGAUUGCUGGACAGUAACUGACGCUGAGGCGCGAAAGCGUGGGGAGCAAACAGGAUUAGAUACCCGUGUAGUC
rnacentral:rRNA from 1 species